AGUGAACGCUGGCGGUAGGCCUAACACAUGCAAGUCGAACGGCAGCACAGUAAGAGCUUGCUCUUACGGGUGGCGAGUGGCGGACGGGUGAGGAAUACAUCGGAAUCUACUUUUUCGUGGGGGAUAACGUAGGGAAACUUACGCUAAUACCGCAUACGACCUACGGGUGAAAGCAGGGGAUCUUCUGACCUUGCGCGAUUGAAUGAGCCGAUGUCGGAUUAGCUAGUUGGCGGGGUAAAGGCCCACCAAGGCGACGAUCCGUAGCUGGUCUGAGAGGAUGAUCAGCCACACUGGAACUGAGACACGGUACAGACUCCUACGGGAGGCAGCAGUGGGGAAUAUUGGACAAUGGGCGCAAGCCUGAUCCAGCCAUACCGCGUGGGUGAAGAAGGCCUUCGGGUUGUAAAGCCCUUUUGUUGGGAAAGAAAAGCAGCAGGUUAAUACCCCGCUGUUCUGACGGUACCCAAAGAAUAAGCACCGGCUAACUUCGUG
rnacentral:rRNA from 1 species